GGUUAAAAGUCGCAUAAUGAAGUAAUAAAUUUCCCGUUUCUUUCAUUUUAACUGAAGAAGAAUAUCAAACAUUUAUUUAUUAAAAAUAAAAUUUCUAACAAUAAAUUAAUCCAAGAUUCCGCCCGCGGGUUGCCAAUGAUUAUGUACGCUUAGUGUUAGUCCAAAUUAGUCAAAUUACGAUUUAAAUAUUGAAUAAGUCGUUUACCCUGGGAACACAUAUUUAUUUAAAUUAAAAAAAACAUAUUUUCUUUUCUUGGGAUUCGCCUGGUGUAGUAAACCUAGUGGCUUGUUCUUGACAUAAACAAAAAAAAAAUCGAAAUGUAUGCCUUUACGUGCAUGAUAAAUUAUAAGAUGUACAGAUUGAGAAAAAAUGGUCAACGAGAAAUUAACCGCAAAGUGCCUUAAUUGUGCAUGUGCGCUUAUAUCUGCCAUAUCUGCAAUGAACAUCGUCAUUAUUUAGUAUUCUACCAAUUUAUAUUCAUAUGUACGCAUAUGUGUGGGUUAAUGUUAACAAAGAGGUGUGAAAACAUAAUGCAAAGAUCAGACAAUUAUCAAAAAGAAACCGAUAAAUAAGCGUGUAAAAGGAUAAUUGUGCUAAUAGGAAAGGACAGUGGCAAUGACAGCAACAACGUUACAAAUGUUGCCUUCGGGAGUCGUGUAAAGCUUGCACAAUUAAUUUAUUUGUAAAAAUAAAGUGCAAUAAAAAUGUGAAAAAAUACUUUCAGCUGAGUUUUAUACAAACUUUCUGGUGGAGAUGGUGAUGAUGAAAACGUAUUGUGUGCUGAUAGUGACAAUUGCUUCAUUUAAACUCCUUAAUGGCAGCAAUUUAAUAAUAAAUUGAAAGCAAAAGAAAAAAGGGAAAAAAUUAUCUGGAUUUUGACUCUUGAAAAAUGUAUGGCAAUAAACAAGAAAGCAGAGCUGCAGAAAGGAUUGUAUUCGGAUUGCACGUUAAAACUAAGCAUUUUAAGCCUCAUAAUACGUUUCCAGGCUUCCCCUUGCGUUCUAUGAUCUUCAAUGUAAAGUACAUGUCGCUACCAUCAGCAGCAUAAAACCAGUCAUCUAGAUAACAACAUCAGCACCAUCACUUGCAGCCGCGUCAACAUUCCAACCAGUCGUUAUAAACAAAUAUAUAUGCUCGUAAACGCGGUCUUUCGCUAUCAUUUAUGGAGAGAAUACUUUCGCUUCCUCCAUACCUAAGAGAUAUUCAUAGUUUUCCUUUUACAAGUGGUUUUGAUCCUCGUUUGGUUACAAAAUUACUCUACAAUUACCGGGCGUUGCCCUCCAUAGUGAAUGUUUAUAAUGGACUGUUUUACAAUGCGGAACUGGUACCAACUAUAAGAGAAGAGAAUUCUAGAGAAGCUAAUAUGCUGAAACAGCUUGACAAUUUACUCCCGCAAUCUGCAAGUCGUCCAAAACACAUGGCAUAUUCUUCUGCGGAAUACAAAGUGAAAAUAUGCAGGAAAAAGACUCGCCGUCAUAGUAUAAUCCUUACGAAGCGAAGGAAAUCUUCCUAAUGACAGUUAAGAUGUAUCGUAAUAACAUUAAAGCUGAAUCCAUCCGUACAUGAAACAGGUUAAACAUUUGCGAAAACUGUUUGAUGAUGCCGACGUAGCAAUGCCUAAAAUUGGCAAUGUGGAGGAAUUCCAAGGACAGGAACGCGAUAGAGUGAGAUCAAGCAUGGAGCAUGUACGUAACAUAUGCACCAUGGAUUAGGAUUCAUACAAAACGAAAGGUCAACCAAACUCGCAAUUUCUCGGCCUCGUUGCCUUCUUAUGAUAUACGGCAACCCCGACACACUCUUUUUGGAUCCUCGUUGGCAUAUGAUCAUAAAUUACUGCGCCGAUAAUGAUGCCUACCUCGGUUGUGAUUUACCGGCAACGUUGUCUGACCCACCAACACUAGCCGAAGGAACAGUUAAUACUCAAGAUAAUUAAUUACUUUUGGCCUU